CACACUCAUGUCGCCUUUUCCUUUUCCUUAUUCUUGACGAGUUGACAAUUCAAAAAUAAAUUCAUAAAUUCGCUCUUAAUUUCAUUCAUUCAAAUUCCUGGAAUAUCAGACCUUGGCAGGGUAUCAGCCAUCAGUUGGUCGGUCGGUCACUCCCGUCUACAUUUCACUCACGGAAUACGCUUGAAAGUGGCUCCUGCUUGUGCAUAUUAUACCCGACUAGAACAUCCAAAUCUCAAGCGGCAAGCAGCAUGACAAGCACGUACGAUAAACAUCAAUGCAGUACACGGAGUACAUCGACUAUUUGCUGAGAUUCGCUUAAUGGCUUAAUGAACACGAUAAGCACGCACGAGACACGAAUCACGAAUCCAGCAGUGAAACGGAUCAAGCGCUCGUCCACAGAUGUCCACAUUCGCAUCCGAUUGUUGCAUGGCCAAAUGCGCCGAAUGGCAUGGAACCAUUUGAAGGACUCGUCCGGCCAUUGAAUGAACCCGAAUGUCCAGCCAAAUCAGUUGGACGCUAUUUAACCGACAGCCGCGACAAAUUGGCAAACGUGAAUGUUGUCAGGCGUUGCGGACAAAUGGGAUUGUCUUCCAGCUGCCGGCUGCAUCCUCGCUUGUUGAUCAAUCAAUUGAACACAAUUCGGAUUGGAGUCUAGUGCUCAAAGAGUGAGGAACGAGACACACUGUAGAGGAAAUUACGUUGUUAUAAAUCAAAGAUGGAAACAAAUUAUAUAUAUACUCCAGUCA